GACGAACGCUGGCGGCGUGCCUAAUACAUGCAAGUAGAACGCACAGUUUAUACCGUAGCUUGCUACACCAUAGACUGUGAGUUGCGAACGGGUGAGUAACGCGUAGGUAACCUGCCUGGUAGCGGGGGAUAACUAUUGGAAACGAUAGCUAAUACCGCAUAAUAUUAAUUAUUGCAUGAUAAUUGAUUGAAAGAUGCAACUGCAUCACUACCAGAUGGACCUGCGUUGUAUUAGCUAGUAGGUGAGGUAACGGCUCACCUAGGCGACGAUACAUAGCCGACCUGAGAGGGUGAUCGGCCACACUGGGACUGAGACACGGCCCAGACUCCUACGGGAGGCAGCAGUAGGGAAUCUUCGGCAAUGGACGAAAGUCUGACCGAGCAACGCCGCGUGAGUGAAGAAGGUUUUCGGAUCGUAAAGAUCUGUUGUAAGAGAAGAACGGGUGUGAGAGUGGAAAGUUCACACUGUGACGGUAUCUUACCAGAAAGGGACGGCUAACUACGUG
rnacentral:rRNA from 1 species